GGGUACGUGGCUGAGUGGCUGAAGGCGCUCCCCUGCUAAGGGAGUAUAGGGCUAACGUUCUAUCGAGGGUUCGAAUCCCUCCGUACCCGCCA
rnacentral:tRNA from 2 species